GACGUAGGGCGCGAGCGUUGUCCGGAUUUAUUGGGCGUAAAGAGCUCGUAGGCGGCUUGUCGCGUCGACUGUGAAAUCCCGCGGCUCAACUGCGGGUCUGCAGUCGAUACGGGCAGGCUAGAGUUCGGUAAGGGAGACUGGAAUUCCUGGUGUAGCGGUGAAAUGCGCAGAUAUCAGGAGGAACACCGAUGGCGAAGGCAGGUCUCUGGGCCGAUACUGACGCUGAGGAGCGAAAGCGUGGGGAGCGAACAGG
rnacentral:rRNA from 1 species